GCGAACAAUCCCAAUUAGGCUGCAAUGCCAAAGGUUCAUCAUCACUGCAUUUCUGAGAUCGAAAGAGCAUGUAUUUACAUCACUGCAUUUCUGAGAUCGAGGAAUUCAUCAAUUCUCUGCGUGGAUGGAUCUGCCUCCCUGCUGGGCCGAGCAGAAGAUGUCGUGGGAGAACACCAAUCAGAAGGCGGUCCUUGACGUGAAGCUCUGAACACAAGAGGUCUCAUCGCUGAAGAAUCCGAACCUUGCCUGGUUACCUUCCUGGCCGACCAUUUAGUUGCAAAAUUCAGAUUCAGAGUACCACGUCAGGAUAUGCUCAUGCUUACCUCUUGUGUGACAGAAUCAUGGAGAAAAUGGAGAAAAUGGCAGAAAGUGGAACCAGACCGCGACGACCGACACACAACAAGGAGUCAGAGGAGGAGAGGGCUGCCAUGAAGGCAAGCCGGACGGAGGAGAUGAUCAGUUACCGGGAGACGGCUGCCAGCACAUGUCCGGCUGCUUUGGCUGAGCAUGAAGAAUCACGGUGAUUUUUAUGGACUGCUCUAGCUAGAAGAUGUGCAAGCUCUUGCUUUAUUGGUUUUCAACAUUGGCCAUAAGCUUCCAUCAUGGAUGUAUUAUACUCCCUCCGUUCCGAAAUACUUGUCGGAGAAUUGGAUAAAAAUGGAUGUAUUUAGAACUAAAAUACGUCCAGAUACAUCUAUUUCGCCGACAAGUAUUUCUGGACGGAGGGUAUUUGGGAGAGUGAAUUCCUAUUUCUACCCCUAUUUAGACAUUUUUUACGCGAAUUGCCCA